UGUAACUGAACGGUCAGCCCUCCCGGAGUGCCAUCAAUGCACAGGAACAAUUUUGUAUGAUAAAUGAUUCAUGACUGUUUAUUGUAAGUUAUCGUAAACAGUUUCCAUGUUGAGAAAUUUGAGAAAUAAGGACUCAGAAAAUUCAUGGACAGAUACAGGUAGUUCACCUCGUGAAUUUGAAAGAUUCUGUGAAAGGAACCUUAACAAUUUGUGACAGUCCAUCUUGAAUAUAAUACACUCUGCUACAGUGUAGUGCGGUAGAAUGAGUGAUUGUUUUAGGUCUUGGCUGGAGGAUUCAGAUGCUGAGUAAGGGCCACAAGAGGAAGAAAGAGUUGGAACUGUUCCUUAUACAGGUGGUGGAGACGCUUUGGGGAGGCAAGAGUCAGGAGUCAGGGGAGUCAGUUACUCAUCGCAAUAUUCCUUGCCUCUCAUCCACUCUUGUAUCUUCUGUCUUUACAUGGCAAGUCCAGUGUGAUUUAUAAGAAUUACAAUGGGGAGAAACCUGAGGACUCGAUUCCUGACCUACCACAAUUUGAGUCCACAUGACCACAAUGAAGGUCGUAAAGAGCAAUUCUAUCAGGAGCAGCAGGAUACUCUAUAAUGGAUAUCACUGUGCACAAUGGGGGUCGACAUUCGUGGGCUAUACUAUGGCUACUCAACAGCUGUCGAUAAAGGACUUCAACAGAAAUGGUCUGGUUGUUCAAAGAUCUGUGGACCAACACUGAUUGUAUAUUGUCCAUACACAGGAACCAUGUGUCAUUACAGAGCAAUUGUCCACCAUACUUCAUUGGAAUCAACCCAAUGAGGAAUAUCAUGAU